GCCGGUCCUCGGUAGUGGCCCCCGGACACAAGGAAGUUCCGGGUGCUUCGAUCGAAGACCGGC
rfam:Streptomyces abyssalis strain SCSIO 10390 scaffold2, whole genome shotgun sequence.